rnacentral:rRNA from 1 species
GAUGAACGCUGGCGGCGUGCCUAAUACAUGCAAGUCGAGCGAAGCGGGGACGGGUGAGUAACACGUGGGUCACCUCCUAUAAGGCUGGGAUAACUUCGGUACCCCUGAGCUAAACCGUAUCUUUAUAGAUGGCUCCGCGGUGCAUUAGGUAGUUGGUAAGGUAACGGCUUACCAAGGCAACGAUGCAUAGUCGACCUGAGAGGGUGAUCGGCCACACUGGAACUGAGACACGGUCCAGACUCCUACGGGAGGCAGCAGUAGGGAAUCUUGCGCAAUGGGCGAAAGCCUGACGGAGCAACGCCGCGUGAGUGAUGAAGGUCUUCGGAUCGUAAAACUCUGUUAUUAGGGAAGCGGUACCUAAUCAGAAAGCAACGGCUAACUACGUGCCAGCAGCCGCGGUAAUUC